CUUUUGCCUUAGACUUCACAAAGGCAGCUUACUCCAGGGAAGCUGAGGACGCACAUCUUCUUGCUUUUUUUUAUAUAAAAGAUUAAUUAAUUAGGCUGCGCCAGGUCUUAGCUGUGCUAUGUGGGAUCUCUUACUUGCAGCAUGCGAAUCUUUUAGUUGUGGCAUACGAACUCUUAGAGGUGGCAUGUGGAAUCUAGCUCCCCGAAAAGGGACCGAACUUGGGCCCCCUUGCGCUGGGAGCAGGGAGUCUUAGCCCCUGGCCCACCAGGGAAGUCCCUCCCUUGCUUCCUGAAAGCUGGGCCUGGGUCCAAUCCCUCUCUGGUUCCCUCGUCACAUUUAAUGCACAGCCCCUUACCCACAGCAGGUGAGGGGCCCGAGGCUACGGUGCUGAUUGAUCAUGGGGAAAGGGACCGGGUGCCCCAGCCUCUCUUUUCUUUGUCCUCCAUGUACCUUCCCUCUUUGAACCUUAGCAGCUGCAAGGCUGCUGCGCUGCCUGGCCCCAUGAAGCCCUCACACCUGAUGAAGGAGCACCCAGCCCAGAGGACUGUAAACACGAUGGGACCUGGACCCUAGAAACAGAGCGCCGACGGGCACCUGACUUCCGGCGGCCCGCUCCUCCUCUUCCGUUCACCUCCGUCCCUUUGCGCUGCUGGCUGGAGCUGAGGGCGGGAUAGCGAAUCAAAGAGCCUAACUCAGUGUUAACAUGAGACCAUCUCCCCUGGCAUAACCUGGCUGGCUUCCCCGUGGACCCUGGAAAUGACACUCACCUGGAGAACAGAAGCCAAGCCCUGCGAGACCUCACAUCGCUGCCUGCCUGCAUCCCUCCGCCACCACCUCCCCCUCGUGUGUGGCAGCAGCCUUCCAGCUGGUCCUCCUGCUUUCAGGAUCUCCCCUCUGUUGCACUUUCCCACAGCCUCCAGGUGACCCUCCAAUACACCCUGCCUGACCCUUGCAGUGGCGCACAGGUUAACCCACAGGUUAGCAGUCAACCCCCCGGGAAUGAUAUUCAAGGGUCCCCUGGACCCAGCCCCACCAGGCUCUUCUGCCUCCCCACCUACUCAUGUGGCUUCCACAUAAUGACCCAGCUACAGCAGCCAGCUCCGUUUUCCUGUGCCCCAGGCUAGUUCUAGCCUUAGAUUUGCUGUGCUCUCUACCUGUGUGUGUGCUAAGUCACUUCAGUCAUGUCCGACUCUUUGUGACCCCAUGGACUGUAGCCCGCCAGGCUCCUCUGUCCAUGAAAUUCUCCAGGCAAGAAUAAACUGGAGUGGGUAGUCA
rnacentral:lncRNA from 1 species